rnacentral:rRNA from 1 species
CUGAUGCAGCAACGCCGCGUGCGGGAUGACGGCCUUCGGGUUGUAAACCGCUUUCGCCUGUGACGAAGCGUGAGUGACGGUAAUGGGUAAAGAAGCACCGGCUAACUACGUGCCAGCAGCCGCGGUGAUACGUAGGGUGCGAGCGUUGUCCGGAUUUAUUGGGCGUAAAGGGCUCGUAGGUGGUUGAUCGCGUCGGAAGUGUAAUCUUGGGGCUUAACCCUGAGCGUGCUUUCGAUACGGGUUGACUUGAGGAAGGUAGGGGAGAAUGGAAUUCCUGGUGGAGCGGUGGAAUGCGCAGAUAUCAGGAGGAACACCAGUGGCGAAGGCGGUUCUCUGGGCCUUUCCUGACGCUGAGGAGCGAAAGCGUGGGGAGCGCACAGGCUUAGAUACCCUGGUA